rnacentral:lncRNA from 1 species
UAAAAAAAGAUGAAUACCUUCAAAAAUAUAAAAUACCUAGAAUAACUGUUUUUUUUUCUUUCUAGUAGGUUUUGAAAGAGUGUAGAAACAUUCCUUCCUGGAUAAUGUUACAUUUCUCCAAAUUGUUUCCCUUCUACUACACCUCUACCCACUGAGAAGAUGGAGAUUAGAGGAUUGCUAUAGGCCACUUCCACCAUUGCACUCAUCCUUCAGAUACUCAUGGAGACAGUUUCCAGUCAUAAUCAUUUGUGCUAUUUUGGGGAAGGACCUGGGUGUGAGACUUGUUCAGCUUCAUAUAAAGUCCUCCUUGGCUGUGCCUUGAGCUACCUGAGGUCUUGGGCAUAGAGGAAACAAAGGGUUCGACUAUGAUGACUGUCAGAAAAUGCAAAAGGUGAUCCUUGUGGAACAAACUCUUUGCCUAUUUAAAGGAUGAAGUUGGUGAUCAAUGACACAUGUAAACCCAGUGGAAUUGCACAUCAGUUGUGAGAGGGGGUUGGAGGGAGGGAAGGGAAAGAGCAUGAAUCUUGUAACCAAAAUUACUCUAAAUUGUCUAAUUAAAUAAAAUUUAAAAAAAAUAAAGGAUGAAGUUGGCC